rfam:Schistosoma rodhaini strain Burundi genome assembly, scaffold: SROB_scaffold0003918
GCACUGUUGAGGAGUCUCACGAUAGGACGAAACAGCUGUCCAGUGC